AGCCGGGGAGGCAGCGGUGCCCUGUACCUGCAAUCCGCUACAGCAGGGGUGAUGUCCUGCCCAGGGGACAGAUUGUAGGGCUGCCCUGUAUAAGUGGCGUUGAUGCUUGGGUCUUGCGCAACAGGAAUUCACGAACCGUGUCAGGUCAGGAAUGAAGCAGCACUAAGUGAAACCUCCUGUGUGCCGUAAGACAGCCUGAGCUGAGCUAACUGUACAGGUAACGCUUAUGGUCUGUUUUCAAAGCAGGGCGCGCG
rnacentral:SRP_RNA from 1 species